GUUUUAUAUAUAUUAUUUUAUAUAUAUUAAGUAUUUUAGAAUAGAAUUUAUAAAAGUAAGGUGUUAGAAUAACCUAACGCCCAUCAGUUCAUACUUAUUCUUGGGGAGAGGAGAGGGGAUAAGGAGCAUUUCUACUUUCCAAAUCUUAACUUCCUGAAUUUUUUUAAAUCAACCUAAAAUGUUUAUAUAAUAUUUGGAAUAAAAAUGAAAGAAAAUUAAAGAAAAAAAGUAAAAAGAAACUACUGAACACUUGUGAUUACUUUUAUACUUCCUUUAAUCUUCCCUCCCACCCUAUAUAUAUAUAUAUAUAUUGUACUAAACUUAUUUGAAAUGUAAGCUUUGGCUGAAAAUAACUUGCCCUCUUUUGAAAUGAAAAUAAUUGCUACAGGGUUGUAAUAAUAAUUCAAUCACUGGUUAUAGCCUGGUUAUAAGGAAAACACCAGGAAACAGACAUCCAAGGAAGGAAGUCUCUUAUUUCUUUUCAUUUCAAGGCAAUUUAGGUAAAUUACAGACAUUUCCCUUUCAGAGCUGAGGACUAUCAAUAGAAUUUUAAGUGUGGUCCAUUUAUACUAAUGUCUUCAAUUUAGAACUUCUUGGACCUUACUUUCUUUAUGAUGCCAGCUUUUAGUUCACAUUAAAAUAAUUUUAUGACUAGCAAGUUGCAAAAAGAGAAAAGUGUUUUGUACAUGUGGCUUCUAUAUUUUGGUAGAAGGAGAAAUCAUUUCAAGGCAAUCAUUUUCUGUACUUAGUGAAUCUCUAAUUUCUUUCCUUUUGGCACUGCCAACUGGAUAACUAGAUAGAAGAUAAUGGAGUUUGGAUAUUCAAUACAAAACUAUUUUCAUUCUGUGGAAAAUGAAACCACUUUGCAAACUACUAUGAAACCACUGCAAAACCACUUUGCCCCACCCUUAAAGGUGUUUCAUGCUCCAUAAUCCUUUAGUACUAUUCAAUCACUUGUCAGUGGUACUGUAUUCCCAGUGUGUGUAUGUGUGUGUGGUGGGGUGUGUGUGUGUGCACUUCUAUCCAUCUGUCUCCUCUACUAAACAGUGAGUUGCUUGAAGGUAAGAUAAAUGAAUUGUGCUCCCCUAAGAAAUGCCUGCAUUUGCAGUUUGGUCCAAAGACGGUGAAUUGCACAAAAGCAAUAUGUAGGCAGCUUCUUUAGUCCUCAGGUGGAAGCGAUAAUGGGAUGUAGGGAGGUAAUGAGACUAAAAAUAAUCAUGAAAAUGAGAAUGUAAGUGCCACAAGAAAUAUUCAUUCAUUCAUUCAUUCAUUCAUUUUAUCAUGUAUUAUGUGUACCCAUUCGGAAUCAUGUGUUGAGAAUAUGAAAAUAAAUCAAGCAAACCCUGACCUGAGAGGAGCUCACACUCCAAGUGGGAUAAUUCCAAGAAGGAAGUGACUAAAGAGAAAUGGAAAUACCUCACUGUGAGUUUCUAGGGUGAGAACAAAUUUACAGCCACAGAUAGAUGGGAAUGGCACUCGAAGAAGAGGGAACCUCAUCAAUAAAGGCUUGGACGAGUGAACGUGCAGACUGAGUUUAGGACACAAUGGAUAGUUAGGUUUGAGAAAGGCAGAGUCCUGAAGUGAAGUACAGUCAUCAAGGCAAAAGGCUAAAGGGAACAUAGUGUGGAGGGGUUUGCUGAAUCACAGAAACCAAGUUGGGGAGUUCAAACUUAUUUUAGUGAGCAAAAGAAAAGCCUUACAUGUUUUUGAGCAGAGAAUUGGCAUAAAUCUGAGUGGCACUUUGGAAAGAAGAGUUUAGCAACAGUGUUCAAAAGAGACCAAAGAGUAGAAAGGAAACAGGGAAUUGUAUUCCAAGACUACUGCAAUUCAAGCAAGAGCCAGUCAAGGUCUUCAGGAUCCAUUUGUGAUUAAAAACAAAACAAGCCAGGUAUAGACUGUACUUUCUUAUCUUGACAAUAAAUAUCUACUAAAAACGUAAAGCAAACCUUGUUCUAAGAUUAAGAACGAGACAAGGGUUCUAAGUAUCACUGAUUUUAUUUUAAACUGUCCUGCAGGUCCAAUCCAAUGCAAUAAGAUAAGAAAAAAGAAAGUAAAAGUCUACAUCUGGAAAGAAGGAAACAAAACUGUCAUUAUUUGAAGAAGAAAAAAUUAUCUUCAUGAUAUAUCUUUCAAAAUCUACUGAAAAUUUUUUAGAAGACAGUUUAGCAGUGUGGCUGAAUGAGCAGAUGGACUUAGAAAUCUAAGAAGCAGACAUAAAUCUCUCCAUUUUUAAGACAGAGAAGAAUAGAGAUUAAAUAAAGGUUUUUACAAGAAAAGCAUCAUAAUCCUUUCUCUGUGGACAGGUCCAUGUGGAUUAAUAGUACAUCUAAACAUUCAUAAGUGUAGCCUAAGAGGUUUCCAAGUAAAUGCACCACACCCUGAGAGGAAUGGCACUGCAUUCUAUGGAAGGUCCUAAACAGCCUUUCAGAUGGAAAUCACAGCAUGACAGAGAAGCCAAUUGGGACUUCAUACAUAAUUUGAGAUGAAUGCAAGGGCAAGCAACAGAGAUGGAAAAAAUUCUUCCACUUUUAAGUAUAGCCCAGGUUUACAGCUCUCUUCUCCUAUAGUCGUUCCCAAACUUACGUCUCAGUCUAAUCGGUUGCUAAUGGGAACAACAAAGCUAGGUAUGCUUAUUCCAUUUACUGCAGGAUUGCUGAUUCAAAGAGGCAGCCUCCAAGAGGCAGAGAAUGAGAGCAACACUUAUCACAUUUGAUUGACAUCAAAUCCUUUUAUCAGGUAAUAUCUCAAAGAACUAGUGCCUCGGAGAAAUUCUAGUUUAGAAAAUGCUGUGCACUCAAACAUUCUCAAUUCCUGGUAUGAACCAAAAUUUAGGUGCAACAUAGCAAAUGGUUAAAAGCAAGGAUGCUGGAGCCCACUAUGCUGGAUCCACAACUUACUCUUCUGUGACCUUCAGCAACUUGCUUAACCUCUCUAUGCCCAAGUUUCCUCAUUUGCAGAAUGGCAAGAGGGAAAAUGACAAGAGCAGUUACCUCAUAGGGUCAUACUGAAGAUUAAAAUGAAUGAUGCAGUGGCUCAUGCCUAUAAUCCCAGCACUUUGGGAGGCCAAGAGGGAUGGAUCACCUGAGAUCAGGAGUUUGAGACCAGCCUGACCAACAUGGUGAAACCCCACCUCUACUAAAAAUACAAAAAUUAGCCAGGCAUGGUGGUGCAUGCCUGUAAUCCCAGCUACUUCGGAGGCUGAGGCAGGAAAAUCGCUUGAACCUGGGAGGUGGAGGUUGCAGUGAGCAGAGAUCACGCCAUUGCACUCCAGCCUGGGCAACAAGAGUGAGACUCUGUCUCAAAAAAACAAAAAAUAAAUACAAAAUAAAAAUAAAAUGAAUGAUUUCAUAUAUGUAAAGCACUUAUUUAAGUGUUGUCACUACACUGUUAGAAUUACAAUAUUUCACAAGCGAGGAAGAAUAUGACUUUGUUGGUGUAAGAAGAAAAUUGCUCUGCAUGAAAUAGGCCCAUAAAGGUCUGUGAGAAGAGCAGUAAUACAUACAUUGUCUGCAGUUCUGCUAAUCAAGACAUUCGACUAAUUGAUAUUUAUAGUGCACACAUUAAUGCCUAGAUUUGUGUCUGGUUUGAGGUGACGUGAAUAGGAAAAAAAUAAUAAUAAAAAAAAAAAGAAGAAGCAAUCCUUAGCCUUAAAAAGGUUGGAGGAUUUUCUCUAAAUAUGGUCCUCCUAAGUAUCCACGUUGAAAAGCACCUUUUCUCCAACUUUCCAUAUUCACUUUCCUGAAUAAAUUACAUCUUCUGGAAGGAAAUUUAGUGCUAAAGGAAUUUUGCCAAUAUUAAGCCAUUUAUAGGAUUGUUUUCUACCACCUCUUCCCUCAAAAUGAUAAGCAAGUUCAACAGACAUGAAACUACUACUGUACACUCAGGAGACUCUGAAAUAUGCAAUAUCCCAAAUGGGACCCACAAUGCAAAAUUCUUCCAGGGAACAUCUAUACCAACAGAAAAAUGCCUUAAAUUACUUUAUUAUACUUUACUUUUAAAAUGUGGCUUAAUUUAUGCAUACUUCAUUAUAUAUCAAUUCCUUGAAAUCUGGUGAUCUAUAUAUAUAAUAUAUAUGAUAACCAGUAGCCAGAACAAUGUCAUCCUCCAACUAUUAAUUAAAUAAGAUAUUCAUAUAUUUAUCCUUUUGGAUGCUAAGUCAAGAACACGUAACAGUUGAAACUCAUUUGGGCUACCAGCCAUAAAACUGUGAAAUGCAAACUUCAACAGUACCCGUCCUCAUGGGAACCUGAAAAGGGUUAUUUGAGGUCAAAAGACACAACAUUUAAGGAGAAAUGUCUCAUGGGAGUAUUUCUGAUCCAGCUAUAGGAUAGAGUGGAAUACCAACUCAACUAAAUCAAAUUUCAAUUCCUCUAGCCCUCUUUCAAGCCCCUCCACAUCCAAUCCCCUCCUUUCUAGCAACCUUGCUCUCUCCUCUAUACUCAGGCCUCUCAAAAGUGGCUCACAUGCUUCCUUGUCCUUUCACACAAAGUGAUCACUGCUCUUUUUUUUGUUUAGAGUCAGGGUCUUGCUCUGUUGCCCAGGCUGGAGUGCAGUGGUGCAAUCAUAGCUACCUGCAGCCUCCAAUUCCUGGGCUCAAGUGAUCUUCCUGCUUCAGCCUCCCAAGCAGAUGGCACUACAGGUACACACGACCAUACCUGGCUAAUUUUUAAAAAUAUUCUGUAGAGGCAGGGUCUUGCUAUCUUUCCCAGGCUGGAACAGUGAUCAUCUUGAAUACCUUUUCUCCCCUGUAGAAACUGUUAUUCCAUCUUUCCUUUUUUCUUUGUGCCUUGUGUGUUCUUUAAGUUGUAUGCAAAAAGUGUCUCUAUUUAAACAUUUUAAAAGUUAUUAUUUAUAGCUUAUAAAUAGGUAUAACAGCAGUAUAGGUAAAUUUUUCACAAACCAGUUAGUUUCUUAAGUAAAUGGUACUCAACAUGAUAGUUAAGGCACCAAAAAGGACCUCUGUAUUUGAGUGACUAAACCUACGCAAUAAAGAGCAGCAUUUUGUACUCAAAAUAAAUUUUGUAGAAAAGGAAACAUGCUGUGUCUUCUAAAGUAAGACAACAAACACACCCAGAAAGGGGGCCCACAGCAUUCCUUUCCUCUCUUUUUCCACCGUAAUUUCCUCCUCAUAUUGCUUUUCCUUUUGUUUACCUUACUCAGGUUCUCCUGUCCCAGCCCCUGGGCUUGCCAGUGAUGCCCAGAGGAUGAUGUGCCUGGUGGCUGAGCUCUUCCAGAACUAAAGACGUGCGGAUCCCUGAGUAUCCAUAACCAUCAAAGCAUGAAGUAAUGCCUUGUAAGUGGUGUCACCACACCUCCCAGAAGAAGGAUGGAUUCCUACCAGAAGCAGUCAAACAUAGUGCCGGAUCAUCUAAGUGAAACGGAUCCCCAUGGGUGCUGCUAUUGGGAUACCAAAGGUCUGAAGUUCAUCCAAUGCAAUAGCAGAAAUAAUUACAUCUGUGAGCAUGUGAGAAGAACCCUGAGUUAGUCCCAAGUGCAAAUCACCAUCUCCAACCAAUUCCUCCACCAAUUGAUGGAUGUUGGGGAGUGGGGUACAGCAACCCCUCCAAGUCCUUCCUCCCUCUAUAUAGCCCAGGAGACUCCCCUCCCACCAGCCUGGCCCCCAGAGUGCUGACUGGCAACAAUAUUCCAAGUUAAAAUAGUUUGCUAAAUAGUUAUACAAUUAGUUUACAAUUCAAAUAUAUCAGAGGAAAAGACAGGGAAAAAAAUUCUAAGAUACAUGAAUCCCAGACCAUUGCUCUCCAAAUAUUUUCAAGUGAUUCAUCUCCUUUAUUUAAAAAAUGAAUUAACCACCAGAUGGGACACUCAUACAUUCCUGAUGGUUGUAGGAAUCAGUAGACCCUGUAUGGAAAGCAAUAGGAUAAUAUUUCAUAGGAUCAAAUUAAAAUGUUCACAGCAUUGGUUCCAGGAAAUUGGCUUCUGGAGAAUUUAUACUCCAGAAACAAUUCAACAAAAGAACACAGCUCUGUGCAUGCAGAUGCUCAUUAGCCCAUCACCUAGAGUAAGGGAAAGUGGAGAUCCCAAUGAACAACAAUGAGAUGGGUUAGCGAACUGUGACCUAUCAGCCCAAUGGACAUUUAAGCAAUCACUGAAAAGUAGAAACAUGAAGAUAUUACACAACAUGGAAACUGUUUAUGGAGUAUAUUUAGGUAAAAAGGAAAAAAAGGCAGAACUGUAUAUCUGUGGUUGGAUAUACUUUUUUUUUUUUAAUAUUAAGCACCAACCAAAAGAAGAAAGGAGGAUAGAAAAAAUAAAAUGGAAGAUGUAGGGUGGGCAGAUUAGGGCUGCGUUUGUUGCUUGCUUUCAUGUUACCAUCAUAGCGUUUUUGCCACUUACAAAGGAGGAAAAAAAUCAAUUCUGUGCCAACCCAGACAACAGAGACCUGAGUGGGGGUUGGGAAGAGAGAUUUUUCAGCACAGAAUCAGACUCCUUCUCCAAAGAGCUGUGUGGCCUUCACCUGCAAGGCGACCUCUUCCACAAGCAGAGGCCAGGACAAAAAGAGGCACCUGUGAGCGACAAAGACGGUUUCCUUGGUUUCCCUCACGGCGCCAAGCGGAGUGGCCGCCUCCCACCACAGGGCCCCCUAAUGGGCGCUUUUGUCCUGCGGGGCAGAGGGACCUCAUUAGAAGGCGCUGGUGCUAAAGGGAAAUGCAUUUCCAGAACAGGAGGUUUCAUCAUUCCUAGCGUUAGCGACAGAAUGGUGACAGAAGCUCUGUGGACGUAUUUUCCAGCGUUCAGUUCACAUCAAGGAUGGGUAUGCACUGGCGGAAAAGGUCAGCUCGCAGAAUGAUCGCCCAUCCACACAGCGUUUGGAGGUCAGACGUUCCUGAUGACUGUGAAAAUGGGGAGGUGAGAAGAGGUCGUCAAAGGGAGCAGCCUUUUAAAGCCAGGUACAGGUUAAAGCCCUGAGGCCAGAGCCUUGCCCAGGCUCCUCUAGCGUGGAGAGCUCCCGCCUUACGGUACAGCUGGCACCUGCUGGUCCCCAGGGCCCUUCGCUGCGACUGCGGCAGACAACCUUGGCAAAGAUGCUGGGGACCGCCCGGGCUGGAAAACGUCGGCCUCUGGCGCUUGAGAAAGGCCAGGCGGACUCCUGCAAUACCCUCGGGUCGUGAGAAGAAGAGGCAAGGCGUUUGGUAAAUCGAAUUGAUUGAUGCCCAGAAGCAUUUGCGGGUUGCAGAGCUCACACUUUAAAGGGGGCCUGGGCACCCGGCUUGAGGGUCACCCGAACACACUACCCACGCGGCGAGGCGAGCGUGGGGAACAAUGGGCCCACCCGGGCCCCCACCCGGCGAACAAUGGCGGCGCCGAGCCCGUCUUCGCCCCCCAUCCCCACCCCCGCCACCCCCGCCCGGCCCGCCGCUCCCGGCCGCCUCUCCACCCGCCCGGGAGGGAACCAUAGUGCGCGGGGCGAGGGGUCUCUGGUCAGGUCCACCCGAGAGGCCAGCCCCGCGGGAAUGUCCGAGGGGGCGGCCUAAACACCUCCGCUGCGUCUGGGGCGUCGGGGCGCCCAGCUGCGGCGCGGAGCAGCAGGGAAGGCAGACGCCCCAGCCACUUACCCCGAUCACCACGGUCUCAUCGCCUUUAAAUUUGGGGAUGAAUUUGUCCCCGCGGAGGAUCUCCGCUUCGUUGAGGGGCCGGAACCGGCACAUCACUUUGAUGCUGCAUUCGGCUGGAUCCGCCAUCUCGGCCGGCGGUAGGGAGGGGGCACGGGGAUGGGUGGGGGGCCGGGGCCGGGAACGACGAGGGAGGAGGCCGCGAGCUGCACCGCCCACAGCUAGGCCGCCUCCUGCAGCCUCCGACGACGCUUCUCAGCAGGUCAUCGCGAGCCCGGCCGGCUGAGCAGCCCCGGCCGCUCCGAGCCCGGGAAGGUGGGCAGCUUCUCCGCUCCGGCCCCUCCGGCUGCAGACCGGCCUGCCCUGGCCCUGCCCCGCCCCUGCCCAGCGCCCCCCGGCCCACCUGCCCGCGACCACGCGGCGGGCGGAGGAGGCGAUGCGCAGGGAGCGAGCCUCGCCCGGCUCAGACCUCCCGGGCUCCUGCGCGCUCAGCCAUCCUGCAUCAGCACCAGCGCGCUCUGCCGCCUUGAGACCCGCCCCUCCGCCCCGCCCUCCCCUGGCCCGCCCCGGGACGGUGACGUCACCGUAGAGGUCCGCCCGGCCCCCGCCCGACUCCGAGCGCUGCGCAUCCCGGGACUUGUAGUCACUCUACCUGCCGGGGGAAGGACAGGAUGCGACCUCCAAGAGCCUGCAAGUCCGGUCUGGCUGCCCAAGCCGGAACCGGAUGGAGGUCAUAUCCAAUAUUUCCGGUUAAAAUCUCUAGAUAACUGGGUCUGGAUCAUCCUGAUCCCAAAAGAAAAUCACUUGGGAAACAGCUCCCAAUAGCCCCUGGGUUUCAUCCUUCAACUUCUACCACUAGAUAAGGAUGGAUGUCUGUUCAGAGUUUGGGUUUGAUUGGCCUUGGUUUAGGUUGGCAUCUAGUGCUAAACCAAUCAACCAGAAUCAGGGAUUUUGUAAGAUUAUGGAGGAAUCCCUUGGUGGGAAGGUUCCCAAAAGAAGAGGGAUGGUAUUCCCAGACAUGGUGCCGGGCUGGCAGAACAACUGAGUGUCCACUCUAUUUUUCCAGAACUUCCUUUUCCUCUAAGACCUAGCUCAACCCUCCUUCCUCAGACUUUCCCAGCUCACUAAACACCUAUAAAGAGUUGGUGGCCCUCCUUGAUGUUCCCCUAAUCUGCUGUGCCUGUCUCUAGCACUGCACUUGGGUGGUGAUAUCUGCUUGAUAUCUUUGUGUCUGUAGCAUCUAGCACAUAGUGGGCAGCAUACUGAAUAAGGAUUCUACCCUAGGAAGAAGCAAUGCAUGAGUGUGAAUCCCACCUCAGCCACUUAUUAGAUGUAUGACCAACAGGCGGAGGAAAUUAAGAGCGGAGGAAAUUAAGAAGUCUUAAUUUCCUUAAGACUCAGUUUCCUCAUCUCUGUCAUUGGAAUAAUAUCAUCUUGUGAUUUCUGGGGGAAUUAAAAGACAGAUGCUUUUAAAGCACCUAGCACGGUGCCUGACAUGUAUAUAGGAUAAGCUCUUGAAAGUUAGAUGUUAUUGGGUGCUGAACAAAUGAUCAUAAAACAAAUAAGUUAGUUAAUUUUAGGAACACAUCUGUUGCUUAAAUUCGGGUAAUACCUGAAAAUACAAGUGUUCUCUGCCUAGCUGAGAGGACAGACCUACUAAAAUCAACUUUUAUAAACCCUUGUAAGUAGUACCAGUUCUAUUUCAUCUCCUCAUGUGCAGUGGAAGUAGAUUAAAAAGACCCAGGUGCCACCUUCUCAUCUGUUUUUAAAUUAAGUAAUUCUCAGGCUCUGGCUCAGAGACCCAUCAUCUUAAAUGAUCAACUUCAUAAUAUACUAGAGAGGACAAUCCAAUUCUCAGUUUCCCUGAGCCCACCAGAAGAUGCCCAGAACCUUGCAUACACUGGUUUAUCUGAGGAGGUCAGGAUUAUCUCAAGUGGACAGAGACGUAUCUGUGUGUCACUGUGUUCAGUCAUCAUUCAUUCGUUCAUCUGUUCAUUCAUCAGCUAUUAACUGAGCAAAUGGCAUUUGCUGUCACUCUGUAAACUUAGAUUUAUUAAGUGAACCCUUUUCAAGGGAGAUAACGUAGGGCCUCUCAUUUGAAGGGAGGUUGCAAAAUAAGUCAUCGCCCUCAGGCAGCUUAGAAACUAGUGGGAGUACAGAGGAUGAAGUUCUCAGUGUUGUCUGAGAAGGCUUAAUAUAGGAAAUGGGCUAAGUAGGAUUCAAAACAAUUGAAAAGGGACACCAAAAGAUAGGUAACAGGCCGGGCGCCGUGGCUCACGCAUGUUAAUCCCAGCACUUUGGGAGGCUGAGAUGGGUGGAUCACUUGAGGUCAGGAGUUUGAGACCAGCCUGACCAACCUGGUGAAACCUGGUCUCUACUAAGAAUACAAAAAUUAGCCAGGCAUGGUGGCACGUGCCUGUAAUUCCAGCUAAUCUGGCGACUGAGGCAGAAGAAUCGCUUGAACCCAGGAGGCAGAGAUUGCAGUGAGCCAGGAUUGUGCCUCUGCACUCCAACCUGGGCGACAGAGUGAGUCUCCAUCUCAGGGAAAAAAAAAAAAAAGAUAGGUAACAGAAGAAAAAACAGAUAAAUUUAACUACAUCAAAAUUAAAACUUUUGCACAUCAAAGGAUGCUAUGAACAGAGUGAGAAGGCAGCUCAUGAAAUGGGAAAAAAUUUGCAAAUAAUACAUCUGAUAAGGAGUUAAUAUACAGAAUAUAUAAAGAAUACCUAUAACUCACAACCAAAAAAAAA